UACGUAGGGUGCAAGCGUUGUCCGGAAUUAUUGGGCGUAAAGAGCUCGUAGGCGGUCUGUCACGUCGGACGUGAAAUCCAGGGCUCAACCCGUGGACCUGCGUUCGAUACGGGGCAGACUAGAGUUCGGUAGGGGAGAGUGGAAUUCCUGGUGUAGCGGUGAAAUGCGCAGAUAUCAGGAGGAACACCAGGCUACGGUACG
rnacentral:rRNA from 1 species